CUCUAUUUUCUUCCCUUUGUUUUUUCCUCCCAUAUUCUUAUCUCCCUUUCUUUGUUCUUCCUUUUUCCCUCAAGAAAUAUUCUUCUUAAAAUUCUAUUCACACAUUAAAAAAAAAGUGGUUUUUUAGUUUACUACCAACUUUUUUUUUUGGUUAAAAAGUUAGAUCUAAACCCUAAAAACUUCAAGAGGGUUUUGUGUUCUUAUAAUACUUUCACUUGCAAGGCUUCAAAAAUUGUAACAAAACCAUAGCUUAGCAAGAAGGAUAUUAUUAUAAACACUUACAAGUGAAAAAUGUUUGAGCCAAACAUAUUUGAUAAGAGCAACCAUCAUCUAUUCGACGACAUAUCCAAAAUUUAGACGUUGUGAGUUCUGAUAUGCUACUUUAAGUUACACGUAUCAUAAAACUCGAAAAAAGGAACUCAAGUUACAAACUCAUAGCUUAUCAAGAAAAGGAUAUAUAUAUAUAUAUAUGUAUAUUUUUUAUAUUUAGAAGUGAAAAAUGUUUCAGCCAAAUAUGUUUGAGAGCCACCAUCAUUUACUUGAUAUGUCACAUAAAUCACCAGAAAAUGAUUUGGAUUUACUUAGAGAUAAUGAUGAAUUUGAGAGCAAAUCAAUGGCAGAUAUUAUGGAAAAUAACCCUUGUGAUGAUGAUCAAGAAGUUGAUCCUAAUCAACGUCCAAACAAAAAGAAACGUUAUCAUCGUCAUACACAAUUACAAAUUCAAGAAAUGGAAUCGUUUUUUAAAGAGUGCCCUCAUCCAGAUGAUAAACAAA